rnacentral:lncRNA from 1 species
CAGUCUCUAUAACUAACUGUGGAUACAGGCAGUGGUUCAGUCUCUAUAACUAACUGUGGAUACAGGCAGUGGUUCAGUCUCUAUAACUAACGGUGGAUUCAGGCAGUGGUUCAGUCUCUAUAACUAACGGUGGAUUCAGGCAGUGGUUCAGUCUCUGUAACUAACUGUGGAUUCAGGCAGUGGUUCAGUCUCUAUAACUAACUGUGGAUUCAGGCAGUGGUUCAGUCUCUAUAACUAACUGUGGAUUCAGGCAGUGGUUCAGUCUCUAUAACUAACUGUGGAUACAGGCAGUGGUUCAGUCUCUAUAACUAACUGUGGAUUCAGGCAGUGGUUAAGUCUCUAUAACUAACUGUGGAUUCAGGCAGUGGUUCAGUCUCUAUAACUAACUGUGGAUUCAGGCAGUGGUUCAGUCUCUGUAACUAACUGUGGAUACAGGCAGUGGUUAAGUCUCUAUAACUAACUGUGGAUACAGGCAGUGGUUAAGUCACUAUAACUAGCUGUGGAUUUGGGCAGUGGUUCAAUCUCUAUAGCUAAUUGUGGAUUCAGGCAGUGGUUCAGUCUCUAUAACUAACUGUGGAUUCAGGCAGUGGUUCAGUCUCUAUAACUAACUGUGGAUUCAGGCAGUGGUUCAGUCUCUAUAACUAACUGUGGAUUCAGGCAGUGGUUCAGUCUCUAUAACUAGCUGUGGAUUCAGGCAGUGGUUCAGUCUCUAUAACUAACUGUGGAUUUGGGCAGUGGGUCGGGGUGAGUGGCCCCGUUACCUCUGAGGAAUGUUCGGUGACCUUUUGACCCCACCAGACUCCAAGGGUGUUAGCCCCACUGACAGCACACACACACACACACACACACACACACACACACACACACACACACACACACACACACACACACACACACACACACACACACACACACACACACACACACACACACACACACACACACACACACACUCUACAGGCUGCAGCAGAGCAGAGGCCAUUUGGUGCUCCCAAUAAAUUAUUUACCCCUACCCCCAAAC